rnacentral:rRNA from 1 species
GACGGAGGGGACAAGUGUUACUCGUCAUAACUGGGCGUAAAGGGUUCGUAGGCGGCUUGGUUAAUCGUUUGAUAAAUCAUCAAGUUAUUCGAUAUUGCCAAGCUUGAGUUAUGGGGAAGGUUGAAGUACUCCUAGUGGAGAGGUGAAAUUCUAAGAUACUAGCGGGGACUAUCAGUCGGCGAAAGCAUCAACCUAAACAUAUUACUGACGCUGAGGAACGAAAGCGCGGGGAGCAAACGGG